UGCUGCUUCCACAACAGCAGCACAAUACUUUGUGCAUUUCUGUGACUUCUGUGACACUAAGAGUGUUGGAAUUCAGUGGAGUGGGAAAGAAAGCCAGCAAUGUGAAUUGCAAUAUGACAGCAGAUUUACUGGAAUGAUGCGGAGUGCAUUCAGAGAAGGAUCUAUUGUAUAAGACAAAGCCUUUCUUCCAGUCACUCUGGAGAACAACACUGUGUGAGAACAGUGCUGUGUUUUAAAUCAUUAAAGAUAACCUCUUGCCAGGUGUGAUAGACCAGGGUGCUUACCCUCUAUUCCUCUGAGCACUUUGAAGAAACUACUACAUUUUUCAAAUGACAAAAAAAAAAAAUCAUCUUAAAAGAGUCAAUUGAGAGACAUCAAAAGCAAACAGAAAAUCUGCAGUCACAGGCACAGAAGUGCAAGUCACAUCUGGAAUCUCCUCUAACAAUCUCAAGACUUUUUCAAAAGGAAACAUAUUCUGCAAUGUGACACAGAGAAGGAGGCAUCCCAGAGAUUGAUUUCAGAUUGUGAAGGCAUUCAACAUGGACAUUUUUAAGGUAAAAAUACCUCCAGCCUAGCUUGGCUCCUAUGUAAUUUUGCAGGUACCUCUUCCCAAUCUCAAGGAAGUCACCUGUUUUGUGAACCACGGAUGCUGCUAAAAUUGAUGUGAAAAACAGUGGUCCAGAUAUUAUCUGUGUGAGGAAUUUCUUUAAAAUGCCAGAGCUGUUUUAUGGUAACAAAUUGUAUCAAAAUUGAACACAGGGGUGAUGCUAAACCUCCUGCUGCUUAAAGAAACACCUUAAGCUGGUGUCUUACCGUGCUGUACUACCACUGCAGGUUGAAAACAUUUGUGCAAAAAUAUAAAUUUACCAUCUUGUAAACCAUGACAAAAGGCUGUGCUGUGGCAGGAAAAGUAACAUGGAUGGACUUUCAGUGUCUUAAAGCCAGUAAUACUCUUAAUAUGGUGACCAAGAACUCUAAAUCUCUGGCUUGGGAUAUCAUUUGCCUUAAUUACUUGUGGAUCAUCUGUCUUGAAGUGCUGACUUGUUCUUGAAAACAUAAGGUUGGUGAUGCAGUGAAAGUCAACUGACAAAUCUGAUAUAUAACUUCAAUUAAUAUUUUCUUACAAGUAGUUACACAAAUAUAAACAACUUAGCAAAAAUAUAAAACCCUCUA